UACGAAGGGGGCUAGCGUUGCUCGGAAUCACUGGGCGUAAAGCGCACGUAGGCGGCUGGCCCAGUCAGAGGUGAAAGCCCAAGGCUCAACCUUGGAACUGCCUUUGAUACUGUUUGGCUUGAGACCGGUAGAGGUAAGUGGAACUGCGAGUGUAGAGGUGAAAUUCGUAGAUAUUCGCAAGAACACCAGUGGCGAAGGCGGCUUACUGGACCGGUUCUGACGCUGAGGCGCGAAAGCGUGGGGAGCAAACAGG
rnacentral:rRNA from 1 species